GUUAGGAAUAUUGGACAAUGGGCGCAAGCCUGAUCCAGCCAUGCCGCGUGAGUGAUGAAGGCCUUCGGGUUGUAAAGCUCUUUAGCCGAUGAUUAUAAUGACUGUAGUCGGAAAAUAAGCCCCGGCUAACUUCGUGCCAGCAGCCGCGGUAAUACGAAGGGGGCGAGCGUUAUUCGGAAUCACUGGGCGUAAAGCGUGCGUAGGCGGCUUUGCAAGUUGGGAGUGAAAGCCCAGGGCUCAACCCUGGAGUUGCUCUCAAAACUGCAAGGCUCGAAUUCGGGAGAGGAUAGCGGAAUUGUCAGUGUAGCAGUGAAAUGCGUAGAUAUUGACAGGAACACCAGUGGCGUAAGCGGCUAUCUGGACCGAUAUUGACGCUGAGGCACGAAAGCGUGGGGAUCAAACAGGAUUAGAUACCCCUGUAGUCC
rnacentral:rRNA from 1 species